AACACUUCAGACAUUUAACAUUUAACUUUCAUCGAACUCGCACGUUAAGUAUUUAAACGCCUUUAUUUGAUAAAACAUGGACGGUUACCAGGGACAAAGUAAUCCUAGUUCUACGUCAGGAAACUUUGCAAAAGAAAUUCUAUCGAGUUAAAAAAGUAAACAUUUUGAAGCAAACACCUAUGCCAACGGCCUAACUGGCAGCCAAGGCAUCGAGGGUAAAUAUUGCGGUGGACGGUCUGGUAGACAUCAGUUCUGUGCAGGUUUCGACGUCAGUCAUUCAACAAAUGGGACCAGUGAUGUUGGUGCUACGGCUGGAUAUAGAUAUAACUUCAAAUAAAUGAAAGGCAGGAACAGAUAAUACACAAAGAAAAAAGAACGACAUAUAAAAAUGUUUUGAAG